rnacentral:tRNA from 1 species
AGCCCGUUAGCUCAGUGGUUAGAGCUGUUCACUCAUAAUGGAUAGGUCGCCAGUUCAAAUCUGGCACGGGCUACCA